rnacentral:rRNA from 1 species
AUGAACGCUAGCUACAGGCCUAACACAUGCAAGUCGAGGGGCAGCAUGAUUGAAGCUUGCUUCAAUUGAUGGCGACCGGCGCACGGGUGAGUAACACGUAUCCAACCUUCCGCUGACUCGGGGAUAGCCUUUCGAAAGAAAGAUUAAUACCCGAUAGCAAAGGAUUUCCGCAUGGAUAUUCUUUUAAAGGAUUCCGGUCAGCGAUGGGGAUGCGUUCCAUUAGAUAGUUGGCGGGGUAACGGCCCACCAAGUCGACGAUGGAUAGGGGUUCUGAGAGGAAGGUCCCCCACAUUGGAACUGAGACACGGUCCAAACUCCUACGGGAGGCAGCAGUGAGGAAUAUUGGUCAAUGGGCGAGAGCCUGAACCAGCCAAGUAGCGUGAAGGAAGACUGCCCUAUGGGUUGUAAACUUCUUUUAUACGGGAAUAAAGUCAUCCACGUGUGGAUGUUUGUAUGUACCGUAUGAAUAAGGAUCGGCUAACUCCGUGCCAGCAGCCGCGGUAAUACGGAGGAUCCGAGCGUUAUCCGGAUUUAUUGGGUUUAAAGGGAGCGUAGGCGGGCUUUUAAGUCAGUUGUGAAAGUUUGCGGCUCAACCGUAAAAUUGCAGUUGAUACUGGAAGCCUUGAGUACAGUAGAGGCAGGCGGAAUUCGUGGUGUAGCGGUGAAAUGCUUAGAUAUCACGAAGAACUCCGAUUGCGAAGGCAGCUUGCUGGACUGUAACUGACGCUGAUGCUCGAAAGUGUGGGUAUCAAACAGGAUUAGAUACCCUGGUAGUCCACACUGUAAACGAUGAAUGCUAGGUGUAGGGGGUAUCGACCCCUUCUGUGCCGCAGUCAACACAAUAAGCAUUCCGCCUGGGGAGUACGGCCGCAAGGUUGAAACUCAAAGGAAUUGACGGGGGCCCGCACAAGCGGAGGAACAUGUGGUUUAAUUCGAUGAUACGCGAGGAACCUUACCCGGGCUUGAACUGCAGCGGAAUGAUGUGGAAACAUGUCAGCGAGUAAUCGCCGCUGUGGAGGUGCUGCAUGGUUGUCGUCAGCUCGUGCCGUGAGGUGUCGGCUUAAGUGCCAUAACGAGCGCAACCCUUAUAUCCAGUUACCAUCAGGUUAUGCUGGGGACUCUGGAUAGACUGCCGUCGUAAGAUGUGAGGAAGGAGGGGAUGACGUCAAAUCAGCACGGCCCUUACGUCCGGGGCUACACACGUGUUACAAUGGGGGGUACAGCAGGCCGCUACCUGGCGACAGGAUGCCAAUCUCCAAAACCCCUCUCAGUUCGGACUGGAGUCUGCAACCCGACUCCACGAAGCUGGAUUCGCUAGUAAUCGCGCAUCAGCCACGGCGCGGUGAAUACGUUCCCGGGCCUUGUACACACCGCCCGUCAAGCCAUGAAAGCCGGGGGUACCUGAAGUGCGUAACCGCAAGGAGCGCCCUAGGGUAAAACCGGUGAUUGGGGCU